rnacentral:rRNA from 1 species
UCAGUCGACUCCUACGGGGAGGCAGCAGUGGGGAAUAUUGCACAAUGGGGGAAACCCUGAUGCAGCCAUGCCGCGUGUGUGAAGAAGGCCUUCGGGUUGUAAAGCACUUUCAGUAGGGAGGAAGGUAGUGUAGUUAACACCUGCACUAUUUGACGUUACCUACAGAAGAAGCACCGGCUAACUCCGUGCCAGCAGCCGCGGUAAUACGGAGGGGUGCGAGCGUUAAUCGGAAUUACUGGGCGUAAAGCGCAUGCAGGCGGCCUGUUAAGUCAGAUGUGAAAGCCCGGGGCUUAACCUCGGAAUUGCAUUUGAAACUGGCAGGCUAGAGUCUUGUAGAGGGGGGUAGGAAUUUCAGGUGUAGCGGUGAAAUGCGUAGAGAUCUGAAGGAAUACCAGUGGCGAAGGCGGCCCCCUGGACAAAGACUGACGCUCAGAUGUGAAAGCGUGGGGAGCAAACAGGAUUAGAUACCCUGGUAG